rnacentral:rRNA from 1 species
UGAAUACGAGAUGCUACGGCGUCGAAGCAGUCUAUGUCAUACUUCCAAGAAAAGCUUGCACUGUCAUAAACAAAUAAUGCCUGUACCAUAACCGACACAGGUGGGUAGGUAGAGUAUACUAAGGGGCGCGAGAUAACUCUCUCUAAGGAACUCGGCAAAAUGACUCCGUAACUUCGGGAGAAGGAGUGCCUUAUUUAUAAGGUUGCAAUAACAAGAUCCAAGCAACUGUUUACCAAAAACACAGGUCUCCGCUAAGUCGUAAGACGAUGUAUGGGGGCUGACGCCUGCCCAGUGCCAGAAGGUUAAAGAAGUUGGUUAGCAUCCGCGAAGCUGAUAACUGAAGCCCUGGUGAACGGCGGCCGUAACAAUAACGGUCCUAAGGUAGCGAAAUUCCUUGUCGGGUAAGUUCCGACCCGCACGAAAGGCGUAAUGAUUUGGAUACUGUCUCGGAGAGGGGCUCGGUGAAAUAGACUUGUCUGUGAAGAUGCGGACUACCUGCACCAGGACAGAAAGACCCUAUGAAGCUUUACUGUAACCUGAAAUUGAAAUUGGACUUUACUUGCGCAGUAUAGGUGGGAGGCGUUGAGAAUAUUCUUGCGGGAUUAUUGGAGCCAUCAGUGAGAUACCACUCUUGUAAUGUUAGAUUUCUAACUUUGUAUCAUUAUCUGGUCAAAGAACAGUUUCAGGCGGGCAGUUUGACUGGGGCGGUCGCCUCCUAAACGGUAACGGAGGCGCACAAAGGUUUCCUCUGAACGGGUAGAAAUCGUAUCUAGAGUGUAAAGGCAUAAGGAAGCUUGACUGUGAGACCUACAAGUCGAGCAGGGACGAAAGUCGGUCUUAGUGAUCUGACGGUGCUGAGUGGAAAGGCCGUCACUCAACGGAUAAAAGUUACUCUAAGGAUAACAGGCUGAUCUCCCCCAAGAGUUCACAUCGACGGGGAGGUUUGGCACCUCGAUGUCGGCUCAUCGCAUCCUGGGGCGGUAGUACGUCCCAAGGGUUGGGCUGUUCGCCCAUGAAAGCGGUACGCGAGCUGGGUUCAGAACGUCGUGAGACAGUUCGGUCCAUAUCCGGUGUAGGCGUUAGAAUAUUGAGAGGAGCCUUCUUUAGUACGAGAGGACCGAGAAGGACAUACCUCUGGUGUACCAGUUAUCGUGCCAACGGUAAACGCUGGGUAGCUAUGUGUGGAGUGGAUAACCGCUGAAAGCAUCUAAGUGGGAAGCCUACCUCAAGAUAAGUAUUCUCGU